AUGCAGUCGACGCUGAGCCUAAAGCUUGCUUUGGGUGGAUGAGUGGCGAACGGGUGAGUAACACGUGAGUAACCUGCCCCUGAUUUCGGGAUAAGCCUGGGAAACUGGGUCUAAUACCGGAUAUGACCUUCUCUCGCAUGAGGGUUGGUGGAAAGUUUUUCGAUUGGGGAUGGGCUCGCGGCCUAUCAGCUUGUUGGUGGGGUAAUGGCCUACCAAGGCGACGACGGGUAGCCGGCCUGAGAGGGCGACCGGCCACACUGGGACUGAGACACGGCCCAGACUCCUACGGGAGGCAGCAGUGGGGAAUAUUGCACAAUGGGGGAAACCCUGAUGCAGCGACGCAGCGUGCGGGAUGACGGCCUUCGGGUUGUAAACCGCUUUCAGCAGGGAAGAAGCGAAAGUGACGGUACCUGCAGAAGAAGUACCGGCUAACUACGUGCCAGCAGCCGCGGUAAUACGUAGGGUACGAGCGUUGUCCGGAAUUAUUGGGCGUAAAGAGCUCGUAGGUGGUUGGUCACGUCUGCUGUGGAAACGCAACGCUUAACGUUGCGCGUGCAGUGGGUACGGGCUGACUAGAGUGCAGUAGGGGAGUCUGGAAUUCCUGGUGUAGCGGUGAAAUGCGCAGAUAUCAGGAGGAACACCGGUGGCGAAGGCGGGACUCUGGGCUGUAACUGACACUGAGGAGCGA
rnacentral:rRNA from 1 species